rnacentral:tRNA from 1 species
GCCUGGUUGGCUCAUUCGGUUAAGCGUCUGACUUGGGCUCAUAACCUCCGGUUUGUGGGUUUGAGCCUCAUAUCAGGCU